UACGAGGGGGGCGAGCGUUGUUCGGAAUUAUUGGGCGUAAAGGGUGCGUAGGCGGUUCCGCAAGUCCUGUGUGAAAUCUUCGGGCUCAACUCGAAGUCUGCACGGGAAACUGCGGGGCUUGAGUGUGGGAGAGGUGAGUGGAAUUCCCGGUGUAGCGGUGAAAUGCGUAGAUAUCAGGAGGAACACCGGUGGCGAAGGCGGGUCUCUGGGCCGAUACUGACGCUGAGGAGCGAAAGCAUGGGGAGCGAACAGG
rnacentral:rRNA from 1 species